rnacentral:rRNA from 1 species
UAGAGUUUGAUCCUGGCUCAGAUUGAACGCUGGCGGCAUGCCUUACACAUGCAAGUCGGACGGCAGCGCGGGAGCAAUCCUGGCGGCGAGUGGCGAACGGGUGAGUAAUACAUCGGAACAUGUCCAGUAGUGGGGGAUAGCCCGGCGAAAGCCGGAUUAAUACCGCAUACGAUCUAUGGAUGAAAGCGGGGGAUCGCAAGACCUCGCGCUAUUGGGGUGGCCGAUGGAGGAUUAGCUAGUUGGUGGGGUAAAGGCCUACCAAGGCGACGAUCCGUAGCUGGCCUGAGAGGACGACCAGCCACACUGGGACUGAGACACGGCCCAGACUCCUACGGGAGGCAGCAGUGGGGAAUUUUGGACAAUGGGGGCAACCCUGAUCCAGCAAUGCCGCGUGUGUGAAGAAGGCCUUCGGGUUGUAAAGCACUUUUGUCCGGGAAGAAAUCCCCUGCCCUAAUACGGCGGGGGGAUGACGGUACCGGAAGAAUAAGCACCGGCUAACUACGUGCCAGCAGCCGCGGUA